UGGCCGUAAACGAUGUGGACUUGGUGUCAGGCAUGGCGCGACCGUGUCUGGUGCCGCAGGGAAGCCGUGAAGCGAGCCACCUGGGAAGUACGGCCGCAAGGCUGAAACUUAAAGGAAUUGGCGGGGGAGCACAACAACGGGUGGAGCCUGCGGUUUAAUUGGACUCAACGCCGGACAACUCACCGGGGACGACAGCAAUAUGUAGGCCAGGCUGAAGACCUUGCCUGAAUCGCUGAGAGGAGGGCAUGGCGUAGACGUCU
rnacentral:rRNA from 1 species